AAAACUUAUGAGCACCUGAGAUUCUGGAUGGGGGCAGUUGGCCAACUCGGCCUUAAUUUUCUCUCUCUUUUCCCAGGAGAAUGGGAACUCCCCCAAUGGCAAGCCACUGAACGGUGCUCGGCAAGAGACCAAGAGAGUAAGCGCUCAAAAAAUACUAUCGUCAACAUCACGGCAGUCGGACCUCUGGAGCGGGAGACCCUCUGCUUACUCGGACGGGAUCCUUAGGCACGACAACGUUGAGAUGUCUGGUCCUGAGCCUCCUUGUCCUCCAUCCCAGGAAGCACGAGAUAACGGACAGGAACGAUAUCCGGAGAGCAAACCAUAAGAAUCGAGGCCAAGAACGGGUGGGACCGUCACCUACGCUAUUGGAUCGAGAAUUCCCGAACCCUGCAGGAUGGCAGUGAUGGUACACCGGUACUUUGAUUCUUCCAACAUACGGUAGUGAGCGUCACUGAAAGCCAGUAAAAUUGAAUAAGUACCCUUCUCUCUGC